rnacentral:lncRNA from 1 species
GUCCCCCCAAGUUCGUAGAGAGAGAUGAAGUCGAUCUCUGUGAAUUUUACGAAUAGGGUUUAUUAGACAAUGAACUAGACACAUUCAUGCCUAUGAUGGUUUAUGCGAAUUUACUUCGAACUUGUGCCUAGUAAAAGGCGAGUUUGCUUUAAACUCGUGCUUAGUGAAAGACGAGUUUACUUGACUCAUGCUGAGACAGAGGCAAAUUUACUGAGAACUCGUGCCUAGUAGAAGGAGAGUUUCUGUAAACUCAUGCCUAGUCAA